ACAAAUAAGAAAUGCAUAUAUAAAAUAUAGUUCAGUAUUAGACGUCCAACCAUCAUGUUGACAAAAACUCAUUGCUCAUCGUAACAGGAAACGACUUUAGGUGCAGAAAGCCGAUGAGAGGCGCAGUGUCUUUGGCACAACAGCAAUUCAGUAUAUUUGUAUAAAGCAGGUGUUGUCCACCAUUUUGACUCCAGUGCCCCCACUGUAUUCAACAAUAUUCAAAUACUCACAAAAACUCAACAUUUCUAACCAUGAAUUAUUUUAGAGCUUGAUAUGGAAAGUGUUUAUUCAAUAUAAAAAUGGACAAAUAACAAGAAAUACCUUGGUUUUUACCUGUUUUAUAAUGUAUUUUAAUUCUCAUUUUGUUACAUAAAUUAUUAGUCUUCCCGAGGCCCCCUUCGAAGACAAUUAAUUAGGGCCCCCUUGUGGAGAUCAACUGAGUUAAAGGUAUAGUUCACUCACAUUUUUUCAUCGUUUAGUAGGGCCCACGCGCGAGUAAAAACGAGGCUUAACGGUACGUGUAUUCGUACCGAACCGUCACGGGUCAAAUUCCACAUGAAAGUGAUUAUUCCUAUGACACAGGGGCGCUGCAGGGUACGCACAGAAUCCCCCACCAAAUAUAAAGCUCUCACACACGCAAAUAUCAAGAAAUGCCGCAAAAUUUAUUCAUAUAUAAGAAUAUUCAUGUUUUGUUAAUGUGUGUUCUGAGCCUGUUUAAAUUAUUACGGCAAUACACUGAGUUUUAAAAUAGCGCAAUGCCGGCCUCUGCCAAAAGGGGGCGCCCAAGGGUUGUCAUGGUGACGGCUGGCAGCCGCAUCUGAGGAAAGCCACAAACUGUUUCUUGUGUAUGUUCUCCUGAAAUUUCAGAAAACUGAUUGGCUGACUAAAGAAUCUUUGUAAUGUGUUGCUGCACAAGGAAGAGAUUCAUGGACAAUCUAAUGUGCUUUGUUGAAGAAGAGACGGUUUUUGAUCUGCCUACGAGUUCUAUAGACGGGACCCGUAACACAAGUCCAGUAAGUCUGGAGUCUUUCAUCCUGUUGCCUCAUGCACGGGAAGGAAUUCCCUAAAUUAUCAUCUGUGUAUGGAACAGGCGCCACUGCUAUGACCUACUCCAUUCGAAGUGCAGGCCCCUUGAAGUUUAGACUUUGGAGAGAGCAGGGCAUGUCCAUGUCAUUAUGUGGACGUUUGGAAUGCAUUUGGCAAAGGGAGUUACGCAAUUUCCAAAUUAUCUUCAUCUGGCGUAUUCCUGUGACAACAUAAAAUGACAAAUAUAAAAUACAACAGUAUAGACUUAUAAUUCCGGUUUUUAAUGAUAAUUUACACCUUAAUCUUGUUAUUUUAUGUUCCUGUGGCUGGAGAUGGAUUUAAGCCUGAAUGCAAUGAAAUUUCUCAGUAGACAUCUAAAAAUUCUAUUUAUUAAAAUCCUGUAAAUAAUAAUGUAUAGCCAACAAUAAUUCUUGUGAGGAUGCUUCUGACCUUGGAAUGCUUCUGUUUAUCGUCAUACACACUUAGGCAGUUACAGAGUUAUUGUAGGCUGCUAUGUACUUGUUUGUCUGUGUUAAAUAUAAAUAAAAACACUGGACACUGAAA